rnacentral:rRNA from 1 species
UUAGAACGCUGGCGGCAUGCCUUACACAUGCAAGUCGAACGGCAGCACGGGAGCAAUCCUGGUGGCGAGUGGCGAACGGGUGAGUAAUAUAUCGGAACGUGCCCAGUCGUGGGGGAUAACGUAGCGAAAGCUACGCUAAUACCGCAUACGAUCUAUGGAUGAAAGCGGGGAUCGCAAGACCUCGCGCGAUUGGAGCGGCCGAUAUCAGAUUAGGUAGUUGGUGAGGUAAAGGCUCACCAAGCCGACGAUCUGUAGCUGGUCUGAGAGGACGACCAGCCACACUGGGACUGAGACACGGCCCAGACUCCUACGGGAGGCAGCAGUGGGAAUUUUGGACAAUGGGCGCAAGCCUGAUCCAGCAAUGCCGCGUGCAGGAUGAAGGCCUUCGGGUUGUAAACUGCUUUUGUACGGAACGAAACGGUGAGCUCUAAUACAGUUUGCUAAUGACGGUACCGUAAGAAUAAGCACCGGCUAACUACGUG